rnacentral:rRNA from 1 species
GAUGAACGCUAGCGAUAGGCUUAACACAUGCAAGUCGAGGGGCAGCACAAGGUAGCUUGCUAUCUGGGUGGCGACCGGCGCACGGGUGCGUAACGCGUAUGCAACUUGCCCUAUACAGGAGGAUAACCCGUCGAAAGACGGACUAAUACUGCGUAUGCUCACAACUUGGCAUCAAGUGGUGAGGAAAGAAAUUCGGUAUAGGAUAGGCAUGCGUCCCAUUAGCUUGUUGGUGAGGUAACGGCCCACCAAGGCAACGAUGGGUAGGGGAACUGAGAGGUUUAUCCCCCACACUGGUACUGAGACCCGGACCAGACUCCUACGGGAGGCAGCAGUGAGGAAUAUUAGUCAAUGGGCGCGAGCCUGAACCAGCCAAGUCGCGUAAAGGAUGACUGUCUUAUGGAUUGUAAACUUCUUUUAUACGAGAAUAACAAGAGUCACGUGUGACUCCCUGCAUGUACCGUAUGAAUAAGCAUCGGCUAACUCCGUG